CUUAUCUAGCACAACCUACUAUAACAAACCAUCAAGUUUUAAAAAAAAGGAACUCUUAUAAUCAGACAGGAGGAAACUUCAUUAAUGAGAAAAAUUGAUACAUCAAAACAGAGCUUGUCAAAUUCAUAAGUUGGUAUCUAGUUAUCUACUAUAGCUAAAAAAAGAACAAAAGACCGACCAUAAAAUAUCGUCAAUAAGAAAACCAGUAAUGGCAUUCGUUCUGCAGCUUGCCAGUGCAUAAAUGAGGCCCAACAAUCCUAUUCAACAAUAGUCCUACCCCCCCCCCCCCCCAUAUGUUGCAAGCCACAGAGCUCCCUAGUCCCAUGGCUCACCCUUCACCAGUUCACCAUCAUGAUCGCCUAACUGCAACGUUGUAUCCAAUGCCCUAGUGGCCCAGUCAUCAUAACAAGCCGAAACUAUAUUCACUUCCAAAGACUAGCAGAUGGAAAUUUGUUCACAUACAAGAAAAUCAAAUUAGGGAGUACAAACUACUUUUGAUUACUCGACUACAGAAAGCUACAGAUUUCUCCAAUACAACAAUUCAGAUAAUAAUAGAGAUUACGAAGGUGAUAAGAGAGAAUUGUGACUAAGAACCAUCGGCUAUAAUUAUCACUUGCUCAGGCUUGCUUCAUCAAACCAUAAAAUUCAUAUCAAGUCUACUUACUAUUCCAGUGCCAAGCAGGCCAGCCCGCAAUCGGCAAUCCCAUGUGGAGAAGUUGUUCAUAAGUUAAGGUGUCCACAACAUUAUAUUAUAAGUAAAAAAAAAAGCCCCCACUUUGACUACUAUCUUAUGAACUUGCAGCCUGCAGGUCAAUUUACUUGGAGACCAAGGUAAAAGUUGCUUGAAUUUUUUUUAUUUUUUUUAAAUAAAGUAUGAUUAAGCAUCUUAUCGGGCGAGAACUCCUCUAAUGUCAACCCAAUAAUUCUUGACAGUGGCGGAUCUUGAACGAUUUUACGAGGGGGCCGGUAGAAUAAAAUUAAGUAAUCAUUAUCAGGUCCGGCCAUAGGGUGGUCUGGUCGGAUACACAGCACAGGACCCCAAAUUUUGGGGGCCCAAAAAAAAUUACACACUAUUGGGUUAAAAGGUUAAAACUAAAAAAAAAAAUUCUUCCCUUUCCCAUAACUUCUCCCUUUCCCGUAACUUCUUGAAUCAAAAACAUGGAAACACAAAAAAAAAACUCUUCAAAUUCUCUCUCCUUCCCAUUGUCAUUUCCUAAAAUUAGUCAAUUACAGCCUUCGUCAACUACUCCACGCUUGAAUCUUCGACCACCAUUCCUCUUCUCGCUCCUUCGACUCUUACUUUCUCUCUCUUCCUUUCAAGUCUCCAGGGUUUUGAAAUCCAGUAAUUCAUCUGAGAAAAUUCGUCGAAGUUCGAUGGUCAAGGCGGUGUAUUUGGAUGGAUUUGGAACGCCGAGUAGAAAUGAAGGCCGGUGGAAUUUGGUCAAUUAGGUAGGGUUUAUUGAAGAUUUUGGGUUUAAUUUUUUCGAUUUGAUUGUUAUUGAUGUUGUAGAAUUUGUUUAAUUUAAUUGCAAAUUGAAGCGUGUAGUAUGUGAAUUUUGAAUUAGUAUUGUUCA